rnacentral:tRNA from 1 species
GCCUGGGUGGCUCAGUUGGUUAAGCGUCUGACUUCGGCUCAGGUCAUGAUCUCACAGUUCGUGAGUUCGAGCCCCACGUUGGGCU